rnacentral:snoRNA from 1 species
UGGCAAUGAUGAUAAAUCUAUGGCUUGUUUCUCACAACAUUCGCAGUUGCCGCCUAAGAGCUUUCGCCCUCCCAGGCUUGAGAGCUAAUGCUACAAAUUCCUUCCUUGGAUGUCAGAGCCC